rnacentral:misc_RNA from 1 species
GAGAGAGAAGAGGAAUCAGAACCGGAUUUCACCAGAUUCUUAUCAACCUUCGAAUCCUCCAUCAAUUUCAGCACUACAUAGAGAUUCAAAUUGGCUUCAAUUUCAUCUAAGUCGCCGACUUGAACUUUGAUCCAUCAGAAAUUUAAAGAAGAAGAAGAAAGUGCAAGGAACAAAAAUGGCUUUAGAGAGAUUUGAGGAGCAGGACUUUCUCGCAUGCUGUGGUAGCACCAAAUUCGCUAAAGAAAUGGUGUUGGCUUCCCCUUUUACUUCCCUUGAAGAAGCCAUCGCUGCAGCCAGAAACAUCUGGUUUAACAAGGUUGAUGUGAAUGGUUGGCUUGAAGCAUUCUCUUCUCAUCCUCAGAUUGGACAAUCCCCUUCUUCUGCCCACACUUCUCACACUGCUGCUCAAUGGAGUAAGGGAGAGCAGUCAACUGCUUUAGCAACUUCUACUGGUUCCAGCUUACAGGAACUUUCUGACUGGAAUGCCCAGUAUAGGCAAAAGUUUGGAUUUAUAUUUAUUAUAUGUGCAUCUGGACGGAGUACUGCUGAAAUACUUGCUGAAUUGAAGAAACGGUACCAAAACAGGCCCAUAGUUGAGUUUGAAAUUGCAGCUCAAGAGCAAAUGAAAGUAACAGAGCUCCGCCUUGGAAAGCUCUUCUCAACCAAAACUAAACCUGCUUCCUCUGGUAAGCAACAUCCCACAGUUUUAGCGACAAAAGUAGAAGAUCGUGUGGCUGUUGUUGGAGGACAUUUAAAGGCUGCUCCUAAUCCUUCAUCUGAUAAGGCAUCUCAAGUUCCAACUCGAACCCGUCCACCCAUUACAACUCAUGUCUUAGAUGUUUCUCAGGGUUGUCCAGCCACUGGUGUUGAGGUGCGUUUGGAGAUGUGGAAGGGCAGUCAACCCCGUCCCUUGUUUGAUAAGACAGAUAUUGGCGGUUGGAUAUUUCAGGGGUCUUCGAUUACAGAUGUGGAUGGGCGAAGUGGUCAAUUGAUGAGCAUUGUUAAUGAUGUGAACCCUGGAAUAUACAGAAUAAGUUUCAACACAGGCAAGUACUGUCCACCUGGGUUCUUUCCAUAUGUUUCUAUUGUGUUUGAAAUCAAAGAAUCACAGAACAGGGAACAUUUUCAUGUUCCUCUGCUGCUUUCACCAUUCUCAUUCAGUACAUACCGUGGCAGCUAGAGCCUUGGUAUGUCAGUAGACAAACCANNNNNNNNNNNNNUUCCAUUGCGAAUGUAGUAAAUACUCUUAUCAACUUACGUUGUAAAAAGUUUAGCAAUAAUAGUUGAUGCUUGUUCUCUGCCUGCCU